AACGAAUAGAAGGUUAGACUAUUCUUUUUUAUUUUUCUGUAAUAUUUUAGUUUUGAUUGAAUAGAGAAAAGUUGAUGUGAUAGAAAAAUCUCUCUUCCAAGAUAAAAUCAUUAUGUGAAAUCCUCACCCAUUCUCGAUAUCCUUCCAAUUUGCCUCAUCCCUAUAAACACCUUUUCCACAGCUAUCCUAUUUUACUUUUUCUUAUCCCAUACCCUAUAAACCCCUUUUCACUCCGGUUCCUAUUUCAAUUUUAGGAGUCUUUUCCACAGGGCAUGAUGGCAUUCGCGUUUUUCUCCUUCCCAGGCUCUCCAUUUCAUGUCACUCAACAUCUCUUUUGUAGACCUGGAAAAGCUACCCACUAUAUGAAGGGAGCGCUAGCUGUCCAUUUCAUGUCACUCAACAGGUCUUCCCAAGCUCUCCAUUCCAUGUCGCUCAAAGACCAUAUAUUUCCCUGCUGCAGUGUUUCUUGGGUUCCCAUGAUGGCGGCGAUGAAGAGCUUCUCUUUCCCAUAUGAUGGUGACAUGGUGAAGAUCUUCUGUCAGAACAUGCAUAGGGAUUUCCAUUGAUUUGACGAAUGUUUCCGGUUAGCAAUCACAGGGCACAGUAGGAUUCACUACACAGCAAUUGAGAUUUGUAUGGUGUCAAAUGAUUCACAACAAUGCCUUUGUAACAUCACUCCUUGGAAGGAGUAUUGGAAAAUAACCGGUAGGGUAAUCAGGAUGUGGAGUUUAUGUGAUCCCAGAAAGGAGACUGACGAACCUGCUUUUCUUCAUAUUGUGGUCAUGGAUAAAUCAAUUCAGUCUAUUUAAUUUUGUUUUGUUUUGAGUUGAAUCAGAUAUUUCAAUAGAAGGUUUUUCAUCAUUAGAAGAAGCUAUGUGAAAUGUGAAAAAUUAUAAUUCACAGUUUUAUGAUUCCAAUUUUUUUUUUUGUUGUUGUUAUUGGUAGGAGGUCUUUCUUAAUUGUUUGGUAUGCAUAAUCUUAUGUGUGUAAAUUAAUGCAUGAAUAUUGCUUGAUAGAAUGUCUAUGUGAAUAAUUUGAAAGCUAAAUUUAAUGCUAUAUAUCUGUCGCAUUAGUACACA